rnacentral:rRNA from 1 species
UACGGAGGAGGCAAGCGUUAUCCGGAAUUAUUGGGCGUAAAGCGUCCGCAGGUGGCGAUUCAAGUCUGCGGUUAAAGACUGGGGCUUAACCCUGGAAAGGCCGUGGAAACUGAAACGCUAGAGUGCAGUAGGGGUAGAGGGAAUUCCCGGUGUAGCGGUGAAAUGCGUAGAGCUCGGGAAGAACAUCGGUGGCGAAAGCGCUCUGCUGGACUGCAACUGACACUCAGGGACGAAAGCGUGGGGAGCAAACAGG